rnacentral:snoRNA from 1 species
CCUGCCACUGCACCUGACCAGUUCUCUGUGGGCUGGUGCAAUCCAGUGGUGAACUGAUAUUAAACCCCAGGUUAGGAAAUGGCGUUGUUCUUCAUGUGGUUAACUCUGUGCUGAAAGCAUGGGAACAGCC